ACCGGUCUGCAGAUGUCUGCGAGAGAACCAACAAACCCUCCUUCCUCCCGGCAGGGCAGGAAUGGCCUGUUUACAUCAGCAGGAAAGAGUAACUGCAUGGCCUGUUGAAAUAAGGAACUGCUUCUUGGAGCUGGAUUGCACAUCAGUGACAAUCCUUAUUUUACUCUAACUUUUAUGAAGAGACCCUUCUUUGAAACAUCAGGUCAGUUUAAAGCGAGAUUUAGAUACAUGCCCCAAAAAGAACAUCUUCAUAAUUGGGCAAAAUGCUACGUUAAUAUUGUUUUAAUUAGUCAGUAAUUGUCAGCAGUUACUGUCACUAAGUUGAUCAAUAUUUGGCAACAAAUAUCAGCCACACAAAGUUGGUGCCUCUGAAAUUGCAGUGAUCCCUUUCAAUUUUAAAGUGCUUUCCACCCCCACCUAAAUUUUAUUCUGUAUGUAUGGAACAUUGGACCUUGUAGGCUAUCUGGAGGUGGAAUGUAACAGGCAUCUGACCUGAAAGACACUGCGUGGAAUGAAAAGAAGAAAAGUGAAAGCUGGUGUUACCUCUCGAGGUUCCCUAAUGUAUCUACAGUGUUACCAAAAGGUUCAGGAAGUUGCAUCUGUCAAGUGUGAAAUUCUUAAGCUCCAGAAAUGCCCAUUAAGAGAAUUAGGAAACACCUGGAGAUUUUCAUCCACCAGAACGCUCUCAUCUCUUCAUCAUAUGCAAUAUAUGUAACCUAUGCACACAUUUUUUUUUCAGAAGUGUUUUAUUGCCUAUUUGUUCAAAUGCAAAUUUUAUAUUUUUGUCACUUUGGAGGCGUGAAAGCAAUUCUUGUUCUGUAUUAACAAUACGUUUAUUCAUUUCCACUGGUAUGGUUUUUGGUCUUUGAAAGUGAAUGUUCUCUUGAAUGAAUCUAUGAUGACAUUACAUCCACUCUGUCCUAUGGUUUUAUAAAUACGAAAAUUAGAUGACAGCAAAAGGUUAAAAAUAGUGUAAAAUGAUUGAAUAAAUAAUAAUAAAUAAUAAA